AAAAAAACAACAAGGAAGAAGAAACGCAAUUUCAUGGAAGCAAUGAUAGAAAC
rnacentral:sRNA from 1 species